GGCGGCAUAGCCAAGUGGUAAGGCAGAGGACUGCAAAUCCUUUAACCCCGGUUCGAAUCCGGGUGCCGCCUCCA
rnacentral:tRNA from 1 species